rnacentral:rRNA from 1 species
AGUGAACGCUGGCGGUAGGCCUAACACAUGCAAGUCGAACGGCAGCACAGUAAGAGCUUGCUCUUACGGGUGGCGAGUGGCGGACGGGUGAGGAAUACAUCGGAAUCUACUUUUUCGUGGGGGAUAACGUAGGGAAAUUUACGCUAAUACCGCAUACGACCUACGGGUGAAAGCAGGGGAUCUUCGGACCUUGCGCGAUUGAAUGAGCCGAUGUCGGAUUAGCUAGUUGGCGGGGUAAAGGCCCACCAAGGCGACGAUCCGUAGCUGGUCUGAGAGGAUGAUCGGCCACACUGGAACUGAGACACGGUCCAGACUCCUACGGGAGGCAGCAGUGGGGAAUAUUGGACAAUGGGCGCAAGCCUGAUCCAGCCAUACCGCGUGGGUGAAGAAGGCCUUCGGGUUGUAAAGCCCUUUUGUUGGGAAAGAAAAGCAGCAGGUUAAUACCCCGCUGUUCUGACGGUACCCAAAGAAUAAGCACCGGCUAACUUCGUG